GAAUAUUGGACAAUGGGCGCAAGCCUGAUCCAGCCAUACCGCGUGGGUGAAGAAGGCCUUCGGGUUGUAAAGCCCUUUUGUUGGGAAAGAAAUCCUAUCGAUUAAUACUCGGUGGGGAUGACGGUACCCAAAGAAUAAGCACCGGCCAACUUCGUUCCAGCCACCGCGGUAAACCGAAGGGUGCAAGCGUUACUCGGAAUUACUGGGCGUAAAGCGUGCGUAGGUGGUGGUUUAAGUCUGUCGUGAAAGCCCUGGGCUCAACCUGGGAAUUGCGAUGGAUACUGGAUCACUAGAGUGUGGUAGAGGGAUGCGGAAUUUCCGGUGUAGCAGUGAAAUGCGUAGAGAUCGGAAGGAACAUCUGUGGCGAAGGCGGCAUCCUGGGCCAACACUGACACUGAGGCACGAAAGCGUGGGGAGCAAACAGG
rnacentral:rRNA from 1 species